CUUAGGAUGAACGCUAGCGACAGGCCUAACACAUGCAAGUCGAGGGGCAGCACAAGGAGCAAUCUGAGGUGGCGACCGGCGCACGGGUGAGUAACACGUAUGCAACCUGCCUGUAAGCGGGGAAUAACCCGUUGAAAGACGGACUAAUACCGCAUAAUACUAAAUUACUGCAUGGUAAUUUAUUUAAACAUUUAUGGCUUACAGAUGGGCAUGCGCAUGAUUAGCUAGUUGGAGAGGUAACGGCUCCCCAAGGCAACGAUCAUUAGGGGUUCUGAGAGGAAGGUCCCCCACACUGGUACUGAGACACGGACCAGACUCCUACGGGAGGCAGCAGUGAGGAAUAUUGGUCAAUGGACGAGAGUCUGAACCAGCCAAGUCGCGUGCAGGAAGAAUGUCCUAAUGGAUUGUAAACUGCUUUUGCAGGGGAAUAAAGUGCAUCACGUGUGAUGUUUUGUAUGUACUCUGCGAAUAAGGAUCGGCUAACUCCGUGCCAGCAGCAGC
rnacentral:rRNA from 1 species